rnacentral:rRNA from 1 species
UACGAGAGGCCCAAACGUUAUUCGGAUUUACUGGGCUUAAAGAGUUCGUAGGCGGCGCAGAAAGUGGGGUGAAAGCCCUCGGCUCAACCGAGGAAUUGCGCUCCAAACUACUGUGCUAGAGGAAGCUAGAGGUGAGCAGAACAGAUGGUGGAGCGGUGAAAUGCGUUGAUAUCAUCUGGAAUACCGGAGGCGAAGGCAGCUCACUGGGGCUUUUCUGACGCUGAGGAACGAAAGCCAGGGUAGCGAACGGG